UAUAUUUUGAAAGGUUUGGCUCACCGCCCUUAGCUAAUCCACUGUUUGCAAUUUUGGGCUGUAGCUUAUGCCGGUGGUAGCUCUGUAGUACUUGAUCAACUAAAAAUACUGCCUUCACGGCUUAUUUGAUGUAUUUACAUUCAGAAAAACACCCUUAGGUAAAUAUUUGCCGGAGUUACACUUUAAUUGCUGUCUUGAGAUAUAUUAAGUGAAAUUUGUAGAGAGUUCUGGCUCAUUACUUCUGCCACUGAUUACCACUUAGUUAGGAAGGUUUUUCACCUGAUUUGUUCCUUUGCAUUUUGUGUUGCGUAUCUUUUGUUUUAAAUUGUUGCUGUAUAUUAAUAUGUUGUUGUUCUAGAGUUGGCGACCUACAUUUCCUCUUCUUUCUAGAAUGUAUCAUGUUGUGGAGUUUGUCAACUCAAAGGAGGUUGAAGUUGUUCACUCCAAUUGGCUGAAAGGAGGCCAUAGUUUCUGGCCCCCUUUUGUAUCUCUUGCAAAGCUGCAUAGGGCAACUAAAGAUGGGGUGCUGCCAGGUGCUGACUGGACUCGAUUCCCAGUCCGCGUGAUGUAUUCACAUGAUGUGUAUGAGAUUGCCUGUGCGAAGCUGCAAGAGGCUACAGUUACCUCUGAUCUAAACACUGAAGAUGAGGACAACAGGCCACAUGUACAUGAAGAGAAAGAAUAGAGGCUGUAGAAGAAUAGCAAGCAGCAGUGAAGAGGAGGUGGAAGUGGAGCAGGGCAGGACUGCUGCACCUCG